AAAAACCGGCCCCUCCCGGGUUGAGGUUUCACUCCACCUGAUGCCUCCGCCUCUUCUGUGAGCUCUCCUUCUGCACCAGUAGCUCCUGUUGCAUGUAGAGCUGCUCCGGAAGCGCACCAGAGUCCUCAUAUCGACCUGUUUUUACCCUCAAAUCGAUUUCAUAAGCUAUUAAGGGAAUAUAGAGCGCAACCGUAUUUUAUUAUUAUUGGUAUGAAUGAACUGCAUGACCCUGUCGCGCGGAUAAGAGCUACAGGUAGGUUUGAACUGAUGAUUUUUGCCAAACAAACACCUCGUUGGAACACGAUGCUGUCCUAAAAGGGAGCACCUUCUCAUAUCAAUCAGUGUCAUGUCACCAAAUGCCACCAAACAGCUGUGGAAGAAGCGGCUAAUGUGAGCCCUCCUGGACCCUCUCUGUUAGCCAUCAUGGGAUGUGGCACCUCUGUCGCCACAGAAAAGCAAGGGGAAACGCUGGAGCAAGAUGAACCAGUUAAGACUCCCAGCCCGGCUCUGAGUAAGACCCCGCUCAUCCUUAACCGUC
ensembl:lncRNA